AAACUUAAAGGAAUUGACGGGAGCUCACACAAGCGGUGGAGCAUGUUGCUUAAUUCGAGGCAACGCGAAGAACCUUACCUGGGUUUGACAUGCUUGGAUUAACCUCUUGAAAGAGAGGCCACGCCCUUCGGUGGAACAAGCACAGGUGCUGCAUGGCUGUCGUCAGCUCGUGCUGUGAAGUGUCGGGUUAAGUCCCUUAACGAGCGCAACCCCUGUCGUUAGUUGCUCACAGGUUAUGCUGAGUACUCUAACGAGACUGCCGGUGUCAAACCGGAGGAAGGUGGGGAUGACGUCAAGUCCUCAUGGCCCUUACAUCCAGGGUUGCAAACGUGCUACAAUGGUGCAUACAGAGCGACGCGAGGCCGCGAGGCGGAGCAAAUCGCAAAAAAUGCACCCCAGUUCGGAUUGCAGGCUGCAAUUCGCCUGCAUGAAGUCGGAAUCGCUAGUAAUCGGAGAUCAGCUACGCUCCGGUGAAUAUGUUCCUGAGCUUUGUACACACCGCCCGUCACGUCAUGGGAGCCAGAAGCGCCCGAAGCCGCCCUAAUUCAAAGGUGUCUACGGCGAUGCUGGUGACUGGGACGAAGUCGUAACAAGGUAGCCGUAGGAGAACCUGCGGCUGGAUCACCUCCUUUAUG
rnacentral:rRNA from 1 species